rnacentral:misc_RNA from 1 species
AUCCAGUAAGCCCCAGGAAACCGCGUAGCCCUCGUGGAGUUGUAGGCUGAGGCCAAUCGGUGAUGGCCGAAAUUUUUGAAUUAUCAACUUGAACUCCAACCUGUGAAAUAAUAUGGCCAAGGUAGGACACCUGGAGUUGUGCAAACGAACAUUUGGGUUUCUUCAGGACAAGCUUAUGAGCUGCCAAUUGUUGAAAUACUUGGCGAAGAUGCUGUAAGUGUUCUGCCCAAGAACUGCUA